rnacentral:rRNA from 2 species
UGGGGAAUAUUGCACAAUGGGCGCAAGCCUGAUGCAGCCAUGCCGCGUGUAUGAAGAAGGCCUUCGGGUUGUAAAGUACUUUCAGCGAGGAGGAAGGCGUUAAGGUUAAUAACCUUGGCGAUUGACGUUACUCGCAGAAGAAGCACCGGCUAACUCCGUG